GUUGAACGCUGGCGGCAGGCCUAACACAUGCAAGUCGAACGGUAGCACAGUGAGCUUGCUCUCGGGUGACGAGUGGCGGACGGGUGAGUAAUGUCUGGGAAACUGCCUGAUGGAGGGGGAUAACUACUGGAAACGGUAGCUAAUACCGCAUAACGUCGCAAGACCAAAGAGGGGGACCUUCGGGCCUCUUGCCAUCAGAUGUGCCCAGAUGGGAUUAGCUAGUAGGUGGGGUAACGGCUCACCUAGGCGACGAUCCCUAGCUGGUCUGAGAGGAUGACCAGCCACACUGGAACUGAGACACGGUCCAGACUCCUACGGGAGGCAGAAGUGGGGAAUAUUGCACAAUGGGCGCAAGCCUGAUGCAGCCAUGCCGCGUGUAUGAAGAAGGCCUUCGGGUUGUAAAGUACUUUCAGCGAGGAGGAAGGCGAUGCGGUUAAUAACCGUGUCGAUUGACGUUACUCGCAGAAGAAGCACCGGCUAACUCCGUGCCAGCAGCCGCGGUAAGAC
rnacentral:rRNA from 1 species